CUGGAAGCUUCCAUCAGUGCUGUAAUUAAAGAGGAAGAGGCUACGUAAUACAUCUGACCCCCCACGAUCAUGAAGCCGGGGUGCCGUGGGCAUAUACUAAAUACUUUGAGAAUGAUGUUCAAGAUACGGUUGUAAGGAUGGACAGAAUGCGAGGAAUCCGUGCAAGCUGUCCAUAAGAGAGAACUUGGCCAACCGGAACAAUCCAUUUCUCUUCUGAGUGUGGUUCAACGCCAUUCAAGGUCAGGAAGUUCAGCAGGGCCUGGUCUCCUACUUCCCUUUCCUCCUUGAUGCUUGUCUGCACCGAGGCGCACUGUGUAUGUGGCUGGAGGAAACGCGAGAAAAUUCGGUGGCGGGCCUUUGUGAAUUGUGAAGCACCAGGCGACAGAAACGUUUUGUUGGCACAGAAGAAUUUUUGCUGGUCUCAGGAGACACUGGGUAACUGGUGACGUGCAGACUGACUCUUGCUGAGCCGCAGGACCGAGAGCCUUCACCAUCCUUCUCAACCUUCCCGUGAAGGCUGUGGCAUCGUGCGUGGAGGUCUCCGCUCUGACCUCUCGGCUCUGGCCCUUGUCCCAUCUUUCACGAGCAAGCCAACCCAGCAAGAGGACAGAUGUGAGUGGACAUUGCCAACCUCUGGACGGGAGCGAUUGCACAGCUUGGGAAGGGGGCCCCGUGUGACGCAUGAACGGGAAGAUCUGGAAGGGCUGUUGAGGAGAAUUGCGGAUGUCAGCUUUGUCUGACAUCACAGCCAAUAAAAACUCACACCAGCACA
rnacentral:lncRNA from 1 species